GAUGAACGCUGGCGGCGUGCCUAACACAUGCAAGUCGAACGGAGUCGUUUUGGAAAUCUCUUCGGAGAUGGAAUUCUCGACUUAGUGGCGGACGGGUGAGUAACGCGUGAGCACUCUGCCUUUAAGAGGGGGAUAACAGUCGGAAACGGCUGCUAAUACCGCAUAAAGCAUUAAAUUCGCAUGUUUUUGAUGCCAAAGGAGCAAUCCGCUUUUAGAUGAGCUCGCGUCUGAUUAGCUAGUUGGCGGGGUAACGGCCCACCAAGGCGACGAUCAGUAGCCGGACUGAGAGGUUGAACGGCCACAUGGGGACUGAGACACGGCCCAGACUCCUACGGGAGGCAGCAGUGGGGAAUAUUGCGCAAUGGGGGAAACCCUGACGCAGCAACGCCGCGUGAUUGAAGAAGGCCUUCGGGUUGUAAAGAUCUUUAAUCAGGGACGAAACAAAUGACGGUACCUGAAGAAUAAGCUCCGGCUAACUACGUG
rnacentral:rRNA from 1 species